GGGGAAUAUUGGGCAAUGGACGCAAGUCUGACCCAGCAACGCCGCGUGAAGGAAGAAGGCUUUCGGGUUGUAAACUUCUUUUAAGGGGGAAGAGUAGAAGACGGUACCCCUUGAAUAAGCCACGGCUAACUACGUGCCAGCAGCCGCGGUAAUACGUAGGUGGCAAGCGUUGUCCGGAUUUACUGGGUGUAAAGGGCGUGUAGCCGGGAAGGCAAGUCAGAUGUGAAAUCUGGAGGCUCAACCUCCAAACUGCAUUUGAAACUGCUUUUCUUGAGUGUCGGAGAGGUAAUCGGAAUUCCUUGUGUAGCGGUGAAAUGCGUAGAUAUAAGGAGGAACACCGGUGGCGAAGGCGGCUUGCUGGACAAAUACUGACGCUGAGGUGCGAAAGCGUGGGGAGCAAACA
rnacentral:rRNA from 1 species